GGCUUUAUAGCCUAGUGGUAUCUUGGCGGUGGGAUAAGACUUUGGACUAAUAGGUCUUGGGUUCGAUUCCCACAAGGGGGG
rnacentral:tRNA from 1 species